rnacentral:rRNA from 1 species
CUUACGGGAGGCAGCAGUAGGGAAUAUUGGACAAUGGACGCAAGUCUGAUCCAGCCAUGCCGCGUGCAGGAUGACAGCCCUCUGGGUUGUAAACUGCUUUUAUAUGAGAAGAAACCCUCAGAUGCGUUUGAGGCUGACGGUAUCAUAUGAAUAAGGAUCGGCUAACUUCGUGCCAGCAGCCGCGGUAAGACGAAGGAUCCAAGCGUUGUCCGGAUUUACUGGGUUUAAAGGAUGCGUAGGCGGACACUUAAGCCAGUGGUGAAAUCCCAUAGCUCAACUAUGGAACUGCCAUUGGAACUGUGUGUCUUGAAUUCGGUUGAGGUAGAUGGAAUAUAACAUGUAGCGGUGAAAUGCUUAGAUAUGUUAUAGAACACCGAUUGCGAAGGCAGUCUACUAAGCCGACAUUGACGCUGAGGCAUGAAAGCGUGGGGAGCGAACAGGAUUAGAUACCCUGGUAGUCCACGCCCUAAACGUUGAUUACUCGCUGUUAGCGAUACACUGUUAGCGGCUAAGCGAAAGCGUUAAGUAAUCCACCUGGGAAGUACGACCGCAAGGUUGAAACUCAAAGGAAUUGACGG